rnacentral:rRNA from 1 species
CAGUCGCCGCGGUAAAACGGAGGGUGCAAGCGUUACUCGGAAUCACUGGGCGUAAAGCGUGCGCAGGCGGUUAUAUAAGUCAGAUGUGAAAUCCCCGGGCUCAACCUGGGAACUGCAUUUGAGACUGUAUGGCUAGAGUGUGUCAGAGGGGGGUAGAAUUCCACGUGUAGCAGUGAAAUGCGUAGAUAUGUGGAGGAAUACCGAUGGCGAAGGCAGCCCCCUGGGAUAACACUGACGCUCAUGCACGAAAGCGUGGGGAGCAAACAGGAUUAGAUACCCGGGUAGUCCCUGUCUCUUAUAC